ACACACUCUUAUUUCAUCCGGCCUGGGGAGGAGGGGAAAGAGGAAGUCACCUGUGAAAUUAUCUUUGCGCUUGGGACUCAAGCCGCCAGCUGCCUUUGGAUAAUUCCUGCUUGCUAAAGAGGCGGGGCCUUAGUCCUCAUCGGCAGAUGGUUUGGAGACUGAAUCAACUAUCUGAGCCCUCAUCUACCACAUAAGAAUUACAGCAACCCUGCAGCUAUCCUGAAGCUGCCAUGCUGGAAAGGCCAAUUGGGAGACCACAUAGAGACUGAGAGAGACUUCCAAGGACUCCAGCCAAUCCAGGGCCCCAGCAGUUUGAAUCUCCCAGCAAUGCCACCAUACAGGAAAGGGAGCAAAUACUCAGAAGAUUCAAGCGCCAGCUGCAUGGGUUGAUACCUACAUGAAAGGCACUGGCAUUAUUCACAAGAGCCAAGAUAUGGAAAUAACCUGUGUCCAUUGACAGAUGAAGAGAUGAGGGAAAGUGGCAUAUAUAUACAAUGGAAUAUUAUUCGGACUUAAAAAAAGAAGAAAAUCCUGAAUCCUGCUAUUUCUGACAACAUAAAACUGCAGGAAAUUAUG
rnacentral:lncRNA from 1 species